UUUAUCAAGAGUGGCGGAGGGACAGGCCCUAUGAAGCCCGACAACCUGCUUAUAUUAUUGUAAGGUGUUAAUUCCUGUAGAUAAAAAA
rnacentral:ncRNA from 1 species